CAAUUUAACAUAAUAUUAAAACUUCCUCGUCACAUUCAAGCAGUAAAUGUUAAACGGAAUGUGAAAUGAAUUUCAGUAUUUUUGUUAUAUUUUGUGUGGUUAUAGCAGUCAAGGCAUGGACAUGUUUAUCACCAAUAAGGAAAGUAUACAGUCGUGUCAACACUGAUGCUGUCCUUCAAUUCUCUGCUGACCUAACAAAUCUGAUUUCACCAAGAAUGUUUGAGGUCAGGUUUUUUGACGGUAGUGCUAAGGCUAGAAUAAUAUACUAUCCAGACAGGAGUCCUACAACUGAUGUAUAACGAGGUCUCAAUACAACUGGUGAUACAGAUGGUAAUGUAGUUGUUACACUACCUAAUAUUCAACAGAAUGAUACAGGCGUUUAUAUAUUGAUUAGUGCUGGAUUUACUCCAAAUUGCAACUGUUUAUACAUGUUAGGUUUCCCAAGGAGGCCAACACUGUCAGGGAAUAAAACAACAUAUGUAGGAAAAGGUGCAAUAUUAACAUGUAGUAGCACAUCAACUACUAUACCCAACAACCACAGCCUCAGUUUGAAAUACUCAUGGAGAGUUAACAACAUAGAUAACCCGGCUAGUACGAAAUACUCAUACACGCCUAGUAAGGAUAAACUAAUUGUAUCAAACAUUUUGAAGGAAGAUGCAAAUCAACAGUUUUCAUGUUCAGCUACAGAAGAUGACACUGAUGGAUACACAUCAAACAGCAGUGAACUAUU